GGCAGCAGUGAGGAAUAUUGGACAAUGGGCGAAAGCCUGAUCCAGCCAUGCCGCGUGCAGGAAGACUGCCCUAUGGGUUGUAAACUGCUUUUGUACGGGAAGAAACACCCCCACGUGUGGGGGCUUGACGGUACCGUAAGAAUAAGCAUCGGCUAACUCCGUGCCAGCAGCCGCGGUAAUACGGAGGAUGCAAGCGUUAUCCGGAAUCAUUGGGUUUAAAGGGUCCGUAGGCGGGCAAUUAAGUCAGAGGUGAAAGUCUGCGGCUCAACCGUAGAACUGCCUUUGAAACUGGUUGUCUUGAAUCGUUGUGAAGUGGUUAGAAUGAGCAGUGUAGCGGUGAAAUGCUUAGAGAUUGCUCAGAAUACCGAUUGCGAAGGCAGAUCACUAACAACGUAUUGACGCUGAGGGACGAAAGCGUGGGGAGCGAACAGGAUUAGAUACCCUGGUAGUCCACGCCGUAAACGAUGGAUACUAGCUGUCCGGUCUUCGGACUGGGUGGCCAAGCGAAAGUGAUAAGUAUCCCACCUGGGGAGUACGUUCGCAAGAAUGAAACUCAAAGGAAUUGACGG
rnacentral:rRNA from 1 species